CCUACGGGAGGCAGCAGUGGGGAAUUUUGGACAAUGGGCGCAAGCCUGAUCCAGCAAUGCCGCGUGAGUGAAGAAGGCCUUCGGGUUGUAAAGCUCUUUUGUCAGGGAAGAAACGGUGGGGGCUAAUAUCUCCUACUAAUGACGGUACCUGAAGAAUAAGCACCGGCUAACUACGUGCCAGCAGCCGCGGUAAUACGUAGGGUGCAAGCGUUAAUCGGAAUUACUGGGCGUAAAGCGUGCGCAGGCGGUUUUGUAAGUCUGUCGUGAAAGCCCCGGGCUCAACCUGGGAAUUGCGAUGGAGACUGCAAGGCUUGAAUCUGGCAGAGGGGGGUAGAAUUCCACGUGUAGCAGUGAAAUGCGUAGAGAUGUGGAGGAACACCGAUGGCGAAGGCAGCCCCCUGGGUCAAGAUUGACGCUCAUGCACGAAAGCGUGGGGAGCAAACAGGAUUAGAUACCCUGGUAGUCCACGCCCUAAACGAUGUCUACUAGUUGUCGGGUUUUAAUUAACUUGGUAACGCAGCUAACGCGUGAAGUAGACCGCCUGGGGAGGUACGGUCGCAGAUAAACUACGAAGAAGUAGAGCGUGAGACGUGCCGAGGACGACGACGAGGGAGAGG
rnacentral:rRNA from 1 species